CUGAUUGAAUUAAAUUAAAUUUGUUUUUCAUCUCAGCCAAGAAUGUCAUCUAGAAGAUCGUUGUUUUACAAAGAAAUAAUAGGCAGAGUUCUUCGAGCUGAAAUGAAUUAUACAGAAGAUGGAUGCAGUAAACUGCAAAAAAUGAGACCAUCAUUUAUUAUGCAACAUUUUUGCAACAACAAAACUUCCUACAUUAUAGUUUCUCUGUUACCUUUCCUGGGUUCUCUGGUACUGAGACUUCCUUAAAAGCCUUGAUUCUGUCCUGGUUAUAAAAUCAUGAUGGCAUCUGAACAAUAUUUGGUUCUUUGGUGAUGCCAUGCCACUGACAAUUCGAAAUGAUAAAAAAUACGGAAGAGUUUUCCCUUGACAGACAUCACAAAAGUCUCAGCAUACACUUUGUUCUGGUUUAUGAACCAACACAAGUAGAUUUGGCCUUAAACAUUUCUCUGUGUGGUCUGUUCUCAAAGAUUGGAGAAUCAUAUGCUGUUUCUUGGUCAUAAUUUGAUGAAUUUCGUUUCUUUGAAUAACAAACGUCCUCAGGUUUCUUGUAUAUUCGGUUCCUGGUGUGAGGGUAGCCUUCAAAUAUAUAGUCGGAU
rnacentral:misc_RNA from 1 species